rnacentral:lncRNA from 1 species
CACGCUAUAAAGCGCCUUUGGGAGGCUGAUGUCGAGAUCCCAUCAGAAACUGCUGCUGCCUAUGCUGAACUGAUCCGCUUGGAACCAGCAUUCGCAUAUGUAUAUCCAGAUUUAUAUUCAUAUCAUGAUUAUCCCGGUACAGAUUCUGUGUGAAGGGCGGUCGCACAGUUGUUAAACUAAACAAAUGGGCUGGACCCAGAGUACCCGGUAUCACUUCUAAAGUGGGGGAUCCAUCAGCUGGUGCCAAAGUUGAAAAUCAUGUGUCGCCAGCAGAUUCUUAAAUUUACGGAUCCUUUGGGUUGCAAGUAUACUUGUUAAUAUU